CAUGCUUGCUUGAGUACUGCUCUUAGAUGAUAUAAAAACAAAUCAAAUUCCCAAACCAAAAAGCUGCACUCUUUUGUCUGGGUAAAUACAGCCAUGACAUGUUUAUUUCCAUGGUUUAGAAUAUCACCAGUGGGAAUCUACUGUGGAAAAUUGAGUACAACACUAUCAUCAUAUGAUUUGUUUUGCUCAUAUUUGGAUGUGCCAUUGGCUGCGGAGCCAGACAGUGAACUCCACACAAUGAGGAGCCUGCGAAAACGCAGAGAAGGCAAGAAAGGAUCCAAACAUUUAGGCAGCAUCAGAUGGGUAGCUGGCUUGUGGUUGACCUGGCCUUUGGUUAGAUAACUGUGCCUGAUCCUUAUGGCCAGGAAGGAAGACAGUGCUAAUGAAAAUGAAGAUCUGUACAACAAAAGUACAGGCCUACCUCAGAGAUAUUGGAGUGUUCAGUUCCAGACCAUGCAAUAAAGUGAAUAUCACAAUGAAGAGCUGAAGAAUUCACAUUUGGGCUGAUGGGCCUGGGGUAGGGAUGACCAACAGACCACAUGCUUCUUGUCUCUUCUACUCCCUGAUACUGUGAUAGACAGGGCUAAGUGAUCAUCCACUCCCCCCACCCUCCAGCCUCUGAGUGGGCCACUUUUCUAGCAUGGAAUUC
rnacentral:lncRNA from 1 species